rnacentral:rRNA from 1 species
ACUGGAUAGCUAGAGGUCGGUAGGGGCAAAGGGAAUUCCCAGUGUAGCGGUGAAAUGCGUAGAUAUUGGGAAGAACACCGGUGGCGAAAGCGCUUUGCUGGACCGAACCUGACGCUGAGGGACGAAAGCUAGGGGAGCGAAUGGGAUUAGAUACCCCAGUAGUCCUAGCCGUAAACGAUGGAGACUAGGUGUUGCCUGUAUCGACCCGGGCAGUGCCGAAGCCAACGCGUUAAGUCUCCCGCCUGGGGAGUACGCACGCAAGUGUGAAACUCAAAGGAAUUGACGGGGGCCCGCACAAGCGGUGGAGUAUGUGGUUUAAUUCGAUGCAACGCGAAGAACCUUACCAGGGCUUGACAUCCCGCGAACCCUCGCGAAAGUGAGGGGUGCCUACGGGAACGCGGAGACAGGUGGUGCAUGGCUGUCGUCAGCUCGUGUCGUGAGAUGUUGGGUUAAGUCCCGCAACGAGCGCAACCCUCGUCCUUAGUUGCCAGMCUUAAGUGGGGCACUCUAGGGAGACUGCCGGUGAUAAACCGGAGGAAGGUGGGGAUGACGUCAAGUCAUCAUGCCCCAUAUGUCCUGGGCUACACACGUACUACAAUGGUCGGGACAACGAGCAGCCAACUCGCGAGAGUGAGCUAAUCUCUUAAACCCGGCCUCAGUUCAGAUUGCAGGCUGCAACUCGCCUGCAUGAAGGAGGAAUCGCUAGUAAUCGCAGGUCAGCAUACUGCGGUGAAUCCGUUCCCGGGCCUUGUACACACCGCCCGUCACACCAUGGAAGUUGGCCAUGCCCGAAGUCGUUACCCUAACCUUUCGAGGAGGGGGACGCCGAAGGCAGGGCUGAUGACUGGGGUGAAGUCGUAACAAGGUAAG